rnacentral:rRNA from 1 species
AUUGAACGCUGGCGGCAUGCUUUACACAUGCAAGUCGAACGGUAACAGGCCGCAAGGUGCUGACGAGUGGCGAACGGGUGAGUAAUGCAUCGGAACGUGCCCAGUCGUGGGGGAUAACGCAGCGAAAGCUGUGCUAAUACCGCAUACGAUCUAUGGAUGAAAGCGGGGGACCGUAAGGCCUCGCGCGAUUGGAGCGGCCGAUGUCAGAUUAGGUAGUUGGUGGGGUAAAGGCUCACCAAGCCAACGAUCUGUAGCUGGUCUGAGAGGACGACCAGCCACACUGGGACUGAGACACGGCCCAGACUCCUACGGGAGGCAGCAGUGGGGAAUUUUGGGCAAUGGGCGCAAGCCUGAUCCAGCAAUGCCGCGUGCAGGAAGAAGGCCUUCGGGUUGUAAACUGCUUUUGUACGGAACGAAACGGUCUGGGUUAAUACCCUGGGCUAAUGACGGUACCGUAAGAAUAAGCACCGGCUAACUACGUGCCAGCAGCCGCGGUAAAAC